rnacentral:rRNA from 1 species
CCUACGGGAGGCAGCAGUGAGGAAUAUUGGUCAAUGGCCGGAAGGCUGAACCAGCCAUGCCGCGUGAAGGUCAGUGCUCUAUGGGCGUUAAACUUCUUUUGUGCGGGAGCAAUAAUGGUCAUGUGUGGCCAGACGAGAGUACCGUACGAAUAAGCAUCGGCUAACUACGUGCAAGCAGCCGGGGUAAUACGGGGGAUGUAAGCGUUAUCAGGGUUUAGUGGGGUGAAAGGGUGCGUAGGGUGGGAGGUAAGUCGGCGGUGGAAUGCCCCCGCUCAACGGGGUGAUGUGCCAUUGAUACUGCCUGGCUUGAAUGCAGAUGCCGUGAAAGGAAUGUGUGGUGUAGCGGGGAAAUGCAUAGAUA